CAAGUCGAGCGGAAAGGCCCUCUUCGGGGGGUGCUCGAGCGGCGAACGGGUGAGUAACACGUGAGUAACCUGCCCUCAGCUUUGGGAUAACCCUCGGAAACGGGGGCUAAUACCGGGUAUUCACAUCGUGCGGCAUCGUGGGGUGUGGAAAGUUUUUGCGGCUGGGGAUGGGCUCGCGGCCUAUCAGCUUGUUGGUGGGGUGAUGGCCUACCAAGGCGGUGACGGGUAGCCGGCCUGAGAGGGCGACCGGCCACACUGGGACUGAGACACGGCCCAGACUCCUACGGGAGGCAGCAGUGGGGAAUAUUGCACAAUGGGCGGAAGCCUGAUGCAGCGACGCCGCGUGAGGGAUGACGGCCUUCGGGUUGUAAACCUCUUUCGACCCUGACGAAGCGUGAGUGACGGUAGGGGGAGAAGAAGCACCGGCCAACUACGUGCCAGCAGCCGCGGUAAGACGUAGGGUGCGAGCGUUGUCCGGAUUUAUUGGGCGUAAAGAGCUCGUAGGCGGCUCGUCGCGUCUGCCGUGAAAACCCGCAGCUCAACUGCGGGCUUGCGGUUGAUACGGGCGGGCUGGAGUUCGGUAGGGGAGACUGGAAUUCCUGGUGUAGCGGUGAAAUGCGCAGAUAUCAGGAGGAACACCGGUGGCGAAGGCGGGUCUCUGGGCCGAUACUGACGCUGAGGAGCGAAAGCGUGGGGAGCGAACAGGAUUAGAUACCCUGGUAGUCCACGCUGUAAACGUUGGGCGCUAGGUGUGGGGGGCCUCUCCGGUUCUCUGUGCCGCAGCUAACGCAUUAAGCGCCCC
rnacentral:rRNA from 1 species